rnacentral:rRNA from 1 species
ACGAACGCUGGCGGCGUGCUUAACACAUGCAAGUCGAACGGAAAGGCCCUGCUUUUGUGGGGUGCUCGAGUGGCGAACGGGUGAGUAACACGUGAGUAACCUGCCCUUGACUUUGGGAUAACUUCAGGAAACUGGGGCUAAUACCGGAUAGGAGCUCCUGCUGCAUGGUGGGGGUUGGAAAGUUUCGGCGGUUGGGGAUGGACUCGCGGCUUAUCAGCUUGUUGGUGGGGUAGUGGCUUACCAAGGCUUUGACGGGUAGCCGGCCUGAGAGGGUGACCGGCCAAAUUGGGACUGGGAUACGGCCCAGACUCCUAGGGGGGGCAGCAGGGGGGAAUAUUGCACAAUGGGGGGAAGCCUGAUGCAGCAACGCCGCGGGGGGGAUGACGGCCUUGGGGUUGUAAACCGCUUUCGCCUGGGACGAAGGGGGAGUGACGGUAAUGGGUAAAGAAGCACCGGCUAACUACGU